UACGUAGGGUGCGAGCGUUGUCCGGAAUUAUUGGGCGUAAAGAGUUCGUAGGCGGUCUGUCGCGUCGAAUGUGAAAACCCGGGGCUUAACUCGGGGCUUGCAUUCGAUACGGGCAGGCUAGAGUUCGGUAGGGGAGACUGGAAUUCCUGGUGUAGCGGUGAAAUGCGCAGAUAUCAGGAGGAACACCGGUGGCGAAGGCGGGACUCUGGGCCGAUACUGACGCUGAGGGGCGAAAGCAUGGGGAGCGAACAGG
rnacentral:rRNA from 1 species